GUGGAGCUGGAGGUGGAGGAGGAGGUGGAGGUGGAGGAGGAUAAAAGCUCCAAGUACAAUCUGUGGAGGAAGAGGAACAAAUGCAAGAAGAUGAAGAGCAGGUAAAAAGCAGUGAAAA